rnacentral:rRNA from 1 species
GUGCCAGCCGCCGCGGUAAUACGUAGGUGGCGAGCGUUGUCCGGAUUUACUGGGCGUAAAGCGCGCGCAGGCGGGCUGGUCAGUCCGGGGUGAAAUCUCACGGCUCAACCGUGAGCGGUCCCCGGAUACUGCCAGUCUUGAGGUGUCUAGAGGAGAGCGGAAUUCCCGGUGUAGUGGUGGAAUGCGUAGAUAUCGGGAAGAACACCAGUGGCGAAAGCGGCUCUCUGGGGACCACCUGACGCUGAGGCGCGAAAGCGUGGGGAGCGAACCGGAUUAGAAACCCUUGUAGUCC